rnacentral:piRNA from 1 species
UGGGUACCUGGCCCCACAGAUGAUCGC